rnacentral:rRNA from 1 species
AUACCGCAUACGCCCUACGGGGGAAAGCAGGGGAUCACUUGUGACCUUGCGCUAAUAGAUGAGCCUAAGUCGGAUUAGCUAGUUGGUGGGGUAAAGGCCUACCAAGGCGACGAUCUGUAGCGGGUCUGAGAGGAUGAUCCGCCACACUGGGACUGAGACACGGCCCAGACUCCUACGGGAGGCAGCAGUGGGGAAUAUUGGACAAUGGGGGGAACCCUGAUCCAGCCAUGCCGCGUGUGUGAAGAAGGCCUUUUGGUUGUAAAGCACUUUAAGCGAGGAGGAGAGGCCCUAGGUUAAUACCCUAGGUGCUUGGACGUUACUCGCAGAAUAAGCACCGGCUAACUCUGUGCCAGCAGCCGCGGUAAUACAGAGGGUGCGAGCGUUAAUCGGAUUUACUGGGCGUAAAGCGUGCGUAGGCGGCCAUUUAAGUCGGAUGUGAAAUCCCCGAGCUCAACUUGGGAAUUGCAUUCGAUACUGGGUGGCUAGAGU